UGUUAAAAUUUUUAUCAAUUUGUACUGUUAAAAAUUGACGUCACUGAUAGAAUAACCAGAUAGUGAAGGGAAUAGUUUUUAGUAGUAAAUAUGGAUGAAACUUUUAACA
rfam:Gossypium raimondii Chr10_contig_22, whole genome shotgun sequence.